AAAGAGACUGCAGUUCAGCUGGCUGCAGGCCAGAUUGUGGGUAGUGAUCUCGUUGUGGGGACUGGGGUGGUUUGCAUUUUGCAGGAAGCUCCUGGGUGCACUAGCAGGAAUCCCUCAAAGUGGCUUGGACUCUAACAUGGGCCCUCUCGUUCUCCCAGGCAAUACUUGAUUUUCCUUUGCUUUUGUGGAGGGUCCGAGGUGCCCCUCAACAGCACUACUGGACAUGUUUUUCAGGCUUGAAAUUGCCCUUAGCCUCUGAGACACUUUCUCAACCUCACCUGCCCCGGUGGGAUGCCAACUCCAGGUUUCAGACCUCUGCUCCACCUUGGACUAGCCUUUGUCAUGGUUCCUGCCUUUCCCAGAUGACCGUGCUGAGAAGCAUGAGC
rnacentral:lncRNA from 1 species